rnacentral:rRNA from 1 species
AUUGAACGCUGGCGGCAGGCCUAACACAUGCAAGUCGAACGAGUGGCGGACGGGUGAGUAAUGUCUGGGAAACUGCCCGAUGGAGGGGGAUAACUACUGGAAACGGUAGCUAAUACCGCAUACCAUCGGAUGUGCCCAUAUGGGAUUAGCUAGUAGGUGGGGUAAUGGCUCACCUAGGCGACGAUCCCUAGCUGGUCUGAGAGGAUGACCAGCCACACUGGAACUGAGACACGGGCCAGACUCCUACGGGAGGCAGCAGUGGGGAAGAUUGCACAAUGGGCGCAAGCCUGAUGCAGCCAUGCCGCGUGUAUGAAGAAGGCCUUCGGGUUGUAAAGUACUUUCAGCGAGGAGGCGUUACUCACAGAAGAAGCACCGGCUAACUCCGUGCCAGCAGCCGCGGUAAUAC